GACGAACGCUGGCGGCGUGCUUAACACAUGCAAGUCGAACGGAAAGGCCCUGCUUUUGUGGGGUGCUCGAGUGGCGAACGGGUGAGUAACACGUGAGUAACCUGCCCUUGACUUUGGGAUAACUUCAGGGAACUGGGGCUAAUACCGGAUAGGAGCUCCUGCCGCAUGGUGGGGGUUGGAAAGUUUCGGCGGUUGGGGAUGGACUCGCGGCUUAUCAGCUUGUUGGUGGGGUAGUGGCUUACCAAGGCUUUGACGGGUAGCCGGCCUGAGAGGGUGACCGGCCACAUUGGGACUGAGAUACGGCCCAGACUCCUACGGGAGGCAGCAGUGGGGAAUAUUGCACAAUGGGCGGAAGCCUGAUGCAGCAACGCCGCGUGCGGGAUGACGGCCUUCGGGUUGUAAACCGCUUUCGCCUGUGACGAAGCGUGAGUGACGGUAAUGGGUAAAGAAGCACCGGCUAACUACGUG
rnacentral:rRNA from 1 species